GGGCGUUUAGCGCAGUGGUAGCGCGUAUGCUUUGCAUGUAUAAGGUCCAGGGUUCAAUCCCCUGAACGUCCA
rnacentral:tRNA from 3 species